CUGGUUAGGUUAACUGCCCACUGUUACAUGACUGAAAUACUGUUGAAAAACGGCGUUAAACCCAAAACAAACAAACAAGACCCUUGGAGAAUAUAGAUAUUUUUUUAUUUUAAUGAAUUUUAAACAUCAUUUUAUUGACCUGAAUGCCUACACAAAUAUCGCUAAAAUAAUUUUUACUUUUGCGAAAAUCCUGUGCCCCAGGCUGUCCUUAUACAAAUCGUGACUUUUUCCUUUAUAUUCUUAAAAAGUUGGUUGAAUUUAAUUUUUGCUGUGUGUCUUGAGAAAGCCUGCCAUUUUGUGUAAGCAAAAAGCAGAAAACAUCUGAAAUAAACUGAUUAUGCCUCGGAUGCAACUAAAAUAAAAAAGAAAGAUAUCUAACUUUUUCAAGGGUCUAGUUGGAAGUUUUGCUCUGUAUAUAUUCCUUUGUCUUGUUGAUGUUUUUUUCACAUUUGUAUGGUAUGGUUAUAGUUAUAUGUAGUAAUAUUAUUUGAAACUUCUUCUCAGGUGCUUGAAUCUGCAAAGGUAAGUGCAUGAGUAGGUUCUGAUCAUAUAACUUUAGAUUAUGGAUAGGUUUAUGAUUAGUUCUGACCAUUUAACUUUUAAGGUAGUUCUGCACGUCCAGAUCAAAAACAUUUUUCUACAGUGUAGUCUCAAUUUAAUUAAACUCUGAUUUUUAAAACUUUGUGAUAUAGGUUGAAAAUUCAGCAAAUAAAAAAGACAGGGUCAUAUGCUUGAUUUUAUGCAAGAUGGAUUUGAAAAAUUUGAACCUCAGUUUUUUUUUAAAAAACGGGAGUCAAUGGGAGAAUUACAACUUUCGUAACAUUUUCGCGAAUAGAAUUUUUUCUGCAAUGCAGCUUUUAAUAAAACUUAUCAUAGUCAUAAAUAAAUAUAUGGCCUAUAAUAUGGUGAACUAAAAUGAAUAGGUCCAUGUGCUUAUUUUUGAGAUAGACACUAUCUUAAAUCAGUUAACAUGUCGGAUGUAUUAGUAUCAUAUUUUAACUUUAGAAAGAUAGUAACGUUGCCAUUGUGGUAAAUUUACCCGCAGGUUGCCAUUAAUUCAUGAACUGAUUUCCAUUUCCUUACGCCAGAUCCAUUUUUUAUUCUGCAUUUUCCAGAUAAAUGACAUGUCAUCACUUCCGGUUUAUCAAACGUGCAGAACUACCUUAAUUUAAUUUAAUUUAACUUACAAUUUAAGGUAGAUGUAUGACUAGGUUAUGAUCAUUUAACUUCCAGUUUAAGGUAGGUGUAUGACUAGGUUAUGAUCAUUUAACGUCUAGUUUAAGGUAGGUGUAUGACUAGGUUAUGAUCAUUUAACUUCCAGUUUAAGGUAGGUGUAUGACUAGGUUAUGAUCAUUUAACUUCCAGUUAAAGGUAGAUGUAUGACUAGGUGGAUUAUGAUCAUUUAACUUCCAGUCUAAGUUAGACGUAUGACUGAGGGGUCAUGAUCAUUUAAUUUUCAGUUAAAGGCAAUCCAAUGUGGUUCUUGGACGAUCUGUUAAUGGAAAGUAUUGGAACCACUGUCUUACCCUUGCUUGAUUGUAAGAGGUGACUAAAUAGAUCUGAACACUUGAUUUUGCUCUAUCCCAGUUGAAGCAGGUAUAAAGUUUUGCUUUUAUGUUGAUGUUAAUGAGAUUUGUUUGAAUCAAAAUUUGUAGUCCUGUUUGGCGUCAUAGAUUUUAUGCUGUGUUGGUACAGUGUUAAAUCCUAAUAAAAUCAAAUUCAGUUCAAUGUAUGUAUAUGACCAGGUUCUGAUCAUUUGACUUUCAAUUACAGGUUAGUGUAUGACUAAAUUCCCAAAGGUAUGUGUAUGGGUUGGUUCUGAUCAUUUAACUUAGUUUAAGGUAGAUGUAUGACUAUGUUCUGAUCAUUUAACUUUCAUAUUAAGUUAGGUUUAUGAUUAGAUUCUGACAGUUUAACUUUCAGUUACAGAUAGGUUCUGAUUAUUCAGUUUUCAGUUACAGGUAGGUGUAAGACUAGGUUCUGAUUAUUCAGUUUUCAGUUACAGGUAGGUGUAUGACUAGGUUCUGAUUAUUCAGUUUUCAGUUACAGGUAGGUGUAAGACUAGGUUCUGAUUAUUUGGUUUUCAGUUACAGGUAGGUGUAUGACUAGGUUCUGAUUAUUCAGUUUUCAGUUACAGGUAGGUGUAUGACUAGGUUCUGAUUAUUCAGUUUUCAGUUACAGGUAGGUGUAUGACUAGGUUCUGAUUAUUCAUUUUUCAAUUACAGAUAGGUGUAUUACUAGGUUCUGAUUAUUCAGUUUUCAGUUACAGGUAGGUGUUUGACUAUGUUCUGAUCAGUGGACCUUCUAUAACUGGUAAGUGUUUGAUUGUGUUAUGACAAAGUUCUGAUCAUAUGAAUUCUUGUACAAUGUAGUAGUUAGGGGUAUACAACUCAGUUCUGAUCACUGGAUAUAGGUUGUUCUUGGACAACUUGCAUAUGAUAAGAAUUGAAAGCUUUGUUGUACCUUAGGCGACUAAUAUGGUGAGAACACUUGGUUUUGAUUCUGUCAGGUAUAAAAGUUUUGAUUCCAUGCCUCAUAUUUUCAUUUCGAUGUAAUGAGUUGUGAAACCAAAAUUUUUACUUCUCUUAGGUGCAGUUUCCCUGUACAUUGUUGGUGCUCCGUAAUAUCCAGUAUCAUCAGAAUUGUUCAGAGGCCAUUUAAAAAAACUGGCAUUCGAUUAGAUAUUCCUUUCAGAAAUUAACCAGUCUUUGUAGUCAUGGAGAUUUCUCAUUAUAUAGUCAUGAUUGUUUUAUUUCGUAUACCUGGUAUAAUAUUGCAGUCAUAUAUCUGUAUUGUGUAAAAGACUGUCAAAAUUAUUUAAGUACUAGUUAAGCAAACAACAUUUUCAAUAAUUGUGUUCUAUACUUUUGUUGAAUUUCUUUAGUUUAGAUGCCUCUAGUUUCAUGCUACUGGUUAGAAACAUAUAUAGUACAACCUCUCCAAAGCGAACCUCUUUUAAGCAAAAACCUCUCUAUAACAACAUCAUCAAAAUUUUCCUAAGCUGAAAUAUACUAUAAAGUUUACCUCUCCAGAACAACAACCUCUACAUAACAGCCAAUAUUUGUAUCUUCCAAAGGGUGUUGCUCUACAGAGGUUGCACUGUAUACUAAAGGUAAUUUUAACUGGUGACUAGGAAUUGUUUCAAAUAGAGAUUUUACUCUGUCGAAUCGAAUGUUUCAAAUGAUGUGUGAACAUCAAUAUUGUAUGUUGUAUUUCUAUUAGUGUGCAGGAUGUAUACUAUUUAAAAAUCCAGGUGAAUAUUAGUUAGAUAUUGCUCAAGUAUAUUUCAAUUCAGUCUUCUAUGGCAACACUUGGUAUCUUGCAUAAUAUUGUUCGUUAUAGUGGCCUCCAUAGUGGUUAAGGUCGCGGACUUAAAAUCACUUGCUUGUCACCGAAAUGGGUUCAAGCCGUGUUUGGGGCGUAUAGUUCUUCAUGUGAAGAAGCCAACUAGCUGCUUACGGAAGGUCGGUGGUUCUACCUAGUUGCCCGAUGCACGGAGCCUGGGGCCUUCCUC
rnacentral:lncRNA from 1 species